rnacentral:misc_RNA from 1 species
AAAAGUCGUAACAAGGUAACCGUAGGUGAACCUGCGGUUGGAUCAUUAAUAAAUUUAUUAAAGAUAAUUGGUUCGAAAGGACCUUUUAUUCUUUAAACAAAUUUGUGAACCUUUACUUUUCAUCAAGGUCAAACUUGGUGGGAAUUAUCUUCAACAAUUAUUUUAAACUUGUCUUUAAAUCUUUUAAUUAAAUUUAAAAAACAACUUUUGACAACGGAUCUCUUGGCUCUC